rnacentral:rRNA from 1 species
UACGAAGGGAGCUAGCGUUGUUCGGAAUCACUGGGCGUAAAGCGCACGUAGGCGGAUUUGUCAGUCAGGGGUGAAAUCCCGGGGCUCAACCUCGGAACUGCCUCUGAUACAGCAAGUCUUGAGUCCGAUAGAGGUGGGUGGAAUUCCUAGUGUAGAGGUGAAAUUCGUAGAUAUUAGGAAGAACACCGGUGGCGAAGGCGGCCCACUGGAUCGGUACUGACGCUGAGGUGCGAAAGCGUGGGGAGCGAACAGG